rnacentral:rRNA from 1 species
AGCGAACGCUGGCGGCAGGCCUAAAACAUGCAAGUCGAACGCCGUAGCAAUACGGAGUGGCAGACGGGUGAGUAACACGUGGGAACAUACCCUUUGGUUCGGAACAACACAGGGAAACUUGUGCUAAUACCGGAUAAGCCCUUACGGGGAAAGAUUUAUCGCCGAAGGAUUGGCCCGCGUCUGAUUAGCUAGUUGGUGGGGUAACGGCCCACCAAGGCUACGAUCAGUAGCUGGUCUGAGAGGAUGAUCAGCCACACUGGGACUGAGACACGGCCCAGACUCCUACGGGAGGCAGCAGUUAGGAAUCUUGGACAAUGGGCGCAAGCCUGAUCCAGCCAUGCCGCGUGAGUGAUGAAGGCCUUAGGGUUGUAAAGCUCUUUCAGCGGGGAAGAUAAUGACGGUACCCGCAGAAGAAGCCCCGGCUAACUUCGUGCCAGCAGCCGCCGUAAAAC